AAUCAUCUUGCUGCUUACCAGACAGGCUUGAGUCUAGAUCUGACAGGCACGUUUCAGAGGUCUUCUUCAAUUUCUUAGACUUCUUCGAGCUCUUUCCAGAUUCAACAUAAACUGUUUCAACUUUCUUACGUUUUUUCUGCACACCUGGGUAUUGUGAUGUCAUAUCUGAAUAAGCGGCUUCCUCAUGAUAUAUUACAUCAUCAUCCAUGGACAUAGUUUCUAUUGACGGUUCCUCUUUCACAUGUUUCAGUUCAGAAGUGAGAGAUCCUUUCUUCAGAGAUUUGAACUUG
rnacentral:misc_RNA from 1 species